UUUUCUAGCAGUUCAAGGAAAAGCUUGCUUUGAUGGCAGUAGCUAGCUACAUCUGAAAAACCAAAUGCCAUUUAAUUUUCCUAGAUGCCCUGGAGUGACACAACAUUGGACACUCAAAGCACUGGGGAAUGCGCAAUGGCAGAUGCCUUCCCAGCCACUGCCAGCAGGCAAGCCACCAGCUGGGGAACUUGGUAGAUGCAGGAAAAGAGAAAUCUCCACUGCUGACGGCUGUGGUGCACACCUUGGAGACCAGAUCUGCCACCUCCUUGGCAAACAAGCACUUCUGCACAUUGGUGA